rnacentral:lncRNA from 13 species
UCUGCUCCUCUAACCUCUUUUCGUCUUUCGUCCCUGAGUCCGUUUGGGGCCGCAUACAUGUCGGACGUGUUCGCCCGUUACUCAUAUUUUUGUACCCGUCGAUUGCAUCACAAUCGGCAACGUGAUUGUUCUCGUGCACAGACUUUGUCUUCUUAACAUUUGCUUUCUUGCUACUUGAUAUUCGUCGAAUACAUCAUUGAUUUGCGAAGGAUAGCCGUAUCAUUCCCAGUUCUGUGGUGUGAUUGAUUUGUUAGUCAUAAACCAUUACAUUACUAGUUACUUAGUUUGUUUAAUAUAUUUAUUAUAGAUUCAUAUAACAAGGCUGCUGCUUAAAGCAAAGGAUAUGUGUAGAAUUCUAAUUAUGAAACAGACUGUCGUGAGUUAGGUAGAGGGCAUAGAAUAAAACGAAAGGCACAACGUUUAGACUUUGAGUCUGAAAAUGAAUCAGACUCUGGAUCGCAAAAUGUUAGAGUAAAAAAAACAAGGCGUCCAACCAACAAGAGUUUUUCAAAACUAAAGCAACUAGUACCAGUACCUCCUCCUGUUCCUUUGAUUGCAUCACGAAGAUUCAGCAUCUCUCCGCAUGAUUUAGUGCGCCAGCAUACUUCCCAGAAGAAACAAUCACCGAAGAAGAUAAAUAUUUGCAAAUUUCAAAAUGAUAAAGAAAAUCAAGUGACCAAACGUAUCAUGAACAUAGGGGAAAAAAUGCAGGAAGAAAAAAUGAAAAUACCGUGCUCUCUGAAAAACUUUGUCAGUUAUUAUCGAAUACAAAUAUUCAAAAACCUUGCAAAACAUCCCUGCAUCAAAAUAAAGAGACAUCUGACCAUAAAAAUGUAAACGAUUGUGAUUUAUUGGAAAAUCAAAAUUUUGGAGUCCAUCAAAAUUUUGAAAAGUUUAUUGAAAAUAGUCAAUUCACUUCAAAGAAGGAAAUUGUUUGAACAUUGCCUAUCUUCUAUAGAUAAACUUCUUUCGCCCAGCUCAUCCAAAAAGAGUAAUUUAUCAAGUGAGUUGAAACGAUCAACUAAUCCUUUGCGAAGUCUACCAUUUUCUGCUGCAGGCACAAGUUCAUCUUUCAAGAAUGAAAGCAGUUGUUCAUCUAAGAGUAAGAAAGCAGAUGUUUCUCUUAUACAUCUCAUCACAACAUUUCAUAAUGAGGUAAAGAGAGAAUUAAAAGAAUUGAAUAGCAAACUUGAUUUUGCUUUAACGAAUCAGGAGAAACUAUGCAGAUACAUACUUCCGAGUGACAAAGUCAUUAAAAGACAGGAUUCCCUUCGCUUCCAGUUCAAUCUGAAGAAGAAUUAAAUGCUUUGGAAGCAUUUUUGUCAAAUGAUGUAAAUUUAUCAGCUGCCAGUAUAUAUCUUGGAAGAUUUGUUAAUAAAAAUAGUCUAGACGGUUCAGUCAGGAAACUAUUAAGAAAUGUUGUAUGCAACAAUGUUGCUAACAAAUUUAGCUUUCAAAGAACGAAAGGAAAGAAAAAGUUUGAAACUUUGAAGAUAUGGGAACUUAUUCUAGGUGCACUACUUUUAUAUUUCGAAAUGGAAGAAAUGUCUGCAGCUGAAAAUGUCGCAAAAUUAUGGCUGGCCAACGCUCCAUGGCGCACACAAUCAGAUGGGAUUAUUGAUCGUCGCCAAACGUGUAAAAAAUAGUAUGUGUAAACUGAGUUUAUUGAACCUACGAGAGAUUUGAUGAAAACGUUUUGUAAAGGCAACUGAAUUUUCUUUGACUAAAUUAUAAAAUAAAACAUUUAUACGCCAGUGUAAAGGAAAAGAUGGAAAAAAUGCAGCAACAUAAUAUGUUGUGGAUCGAGGUGCA